rnacentral:rRNA from 1 species
CGGGUGAGUAACACGUGGAUAAUCUGCCUUUUAGUGGGGAAUACCGUUGGGAAACCGACGACAAUACCGCAUAAGCUCGAGAGAGGAAAGCUGUUCUGUAAAAGGAGCAGCGCUGAAAGAGGAGUCCGCGGCCGAUUAGCUUGUUGGUAGGGUAAUGGCCUACCAAGGCUGUGAUCGGUAGCCGGCCUGAGAGGGCACACGGCCACACUGGCACUGAAACACGGGCCAG